CUUAAAGGUUAGUCUGAUUUAGAUCUACUAGAUCUAAAUUUCUAAAAACAGGCAAAAAUUAGACCUAGAUCUAUCAAUUUUAUAUUAUUAUUAAUAUACGAAAUAUGGAUUUUGUUACACUCUUACUUAAAGACCAACUGAAGAGGUUUUUUUCGAAAUUGAGAUAGCGAUUGAUUCAGACAGUAGAUAGCAUCAAAGUUAGUUCCUAAAAUUUUGAGAUUUUAGAAAAGCGUAUUUAUAUUAGAAAAAGUAAUUUGAAAGUGGAAAAAAUAACGAGAUUUGAAAAUCAGCUUUAAUGGCCGAAACCGGAAGUGACGUCUUGUAAUGGACUGAGAAAAUGUAAAUAAAAAUAGACAUGGCUGGAUACGUUAUUGAUAGCCAUUCAGAUGAUAUACUUAUCUAAAUCUAGCUGUCAAACAAUUUAAAAUGAUACUUAUCAUGGAAUGCACCAAAAUGCCCUGAAGAUAACUCUUAUUAUACUAUAUAUAGAUUAAUAGAAUAGAUACUUUAGAUAGACAACAUAUGACAUGUGGCAUACAGACAAGUUUACUAGAUGGAUCUUUCAUCAUUUUGGAAAUACAAGAAGAGUUAAUAUUCCCUGUUUCUAUUGUGAAACAAAUCACAGAAACAUUCUACAAUUUUAUUUUAUAUAAUAAAUACCAAUAAAUGUAAAUACAAAAUCA